rnacentral:rRNA from 1 species
AGGGCACCACCAGGAGUGGAGCCUGCGGCUUAAUUUGACUCAACACGGGGAAACUCACCCGGCCCGGACACCGUAAGGAUUGACAGAUUGAUAGCUUUUUCAUGAUUCGGUGGAUGGUGGUGCAUGGCCGUUCUUAGUUCGUGGAGCGAUUUGUCUGGUUUAUUCCGAUAACGAGCGAGACUCUAGCCUACUAAAUAGUUCGCACAUUGUCUCUGUGUGUGUGGCUUCUUAGAGGGAUUUUCGGUGUUCAGCCGCACGAAAUUGAGCAAUAACAGGUCUGUGAUGCCCUUAGAUGUCCGGGGCUGCACGCGCGCUACACUGGCAAAAUCACCGUGCUUGUCCUUCCCCGAAAGGGGUUGGUAAACCCUUGAAAAUUUGCCGUGAUUGGGAUUGGAAAUUGCAAUUAUUUUCCAUGAACGAGGAAUUCCAAGUAAGUGCGAGUCAUCAGCUCGCGUUGAUUACGUCCCUGCCCUUUGUACACACCGCCCGUCGCUGCCCGGGACUGGGCCAUUUCGAGAA